UACAGAGGUCUCAAGCGUUGUUCGGAUUCAUUGGGCGUAAAGGGUGCGUAGGCGGCGCGGUAAGUCGGGUGUGAAAUCUCGGGGCUUAACUCCGAAACUGCAUUCGAUACUGCCGUGCUUGAGGACUGGAGAGGAGACUGGAAUUUACGGUGUAGCGGUGAAAUGCGUAGAUAUCGUAAGGAAGACCAGUGGCGAAGGCGGGUCUCUGGACAGUUCCUGACGCUGAGGCACGAAGGUCAGGGGAGGCAAACGGG
rnacentral:rRNA from 1 species